GUGGUACCUCGAAGUGGUCUAGCUUAGGGGUUAGAGAUGAAAGAACAAACUUGUAAUAAUUUGUAAUAGAUGAUUGUAUUUGAAAGUUAAAUAUGAAAGAAAAUAUAAUAUGUAAAAUCUGGGACGAAUGCUUGUAAUAGUAUAGCUACAUUUAUGUUUUUGAUACUUCCUUAUGCAAUCCUUGCUUGAUUACUGUCUCUCGUUGGGACCUCGUGCUUUGUAUGGAUUGUGACACUUAAGACGUACAGGGGAGACUCUGCCCGUUCGGCGGUCUGUCGGCGUGCCCGAAUAUGAUGAAAUAGGUGGAUG
rnacentral:lncRNA from 1 species